GCGGAAGUGGCGGAAUGGCAGACGCGUUGGACUCAGGAUCCAAUGGGGGCAACCCCGUGGGGGUUCAAGUCCCCCCUUCCGCACCA
rnacentral:tRNA from 1 species